rnacentral:rRNA from 1 species
CAUACUGUUUAUUCCUACGGGAGGCAGCAGUAAGGAAUAUUGGUCAAUGGGCGCAAGCCUGAACCAGCCAUGCCGCGUGAAGGAUGACGGCCCUAUGGGUUGUAAACUUCUUUUGUACGGGAAAAAACCACCGGUCGUGUAUCGGUGCUGAUGGUACCGUAAGAAUAAGCAUCGGCUAACUCCGUGCCAGCAGCCGCGGUAAUACGGAGGAUGCAAGCGUUAUCCGGAUUCAUUGGGUUUAAAGGGUGCGCAGGCGGAGUGAUAAGUCAGUGGUGAAAGCCUACAGCUUAACUGUAGAACUGCCAUUGAUACUGUCAUUCUUGAGUAUUGUUGAGGUAGGCGGAAUGUUUCAUGUAGCGGUGAAAUGCUUAGAUAUGACACAGAACACCGAUCGCGAAGGCAGCUUACCAAGCAAUAACUGACGCUCAUGCACGAAAGCGUGGGGAUCAAACAGGAUUAGAUACCCUGGUAGUCCACGCCGUAAACGAUGAUCACUCGAUGUUGGCGAUACACAGUCAGCGUCUUAGGGAAACUAUUAAGUGAUCCACCUGGGGAGUACGGUCGCAAGAUUGAAACUCAAAGGAAUUGACGGGGGCCCGCACAAGCGGAGGAGCAUGUGGUUUAAUUCGAUGAUACGCGAGGAACCUUACCUGGGCUCGAACGUGGAAUGACAGUCGCGGAAACGUGAUCUUCUUCGGACAUUCUACGAGGUGCUGCAUGGUUGUCGUCAGCUCGUGCCGUGAGGUGUCGGGUUAAGUCCCAUAACGAGCGCAACCCCUAUCUUUAGUUGCCAUCAGGUAAUGCUGGGGACUCUAAAGAAACUGCCUACGCAAGUAGUGAGGAAGGCGGGGAUGACGUCAAAUCAGCACGGCCCUUACGUCCAGGGCUACACACGUGCUACAAUGGCCGGUACAGAGGGCAGCUACCUGGUGACAGGAUGCAAAUCUCCAAAGCCGGUCUCAGUUCGGAUCGAAGUCUGAAACUCGACUUCGUGAAGUUGGAUUCGCUAGUAAUCAAGCAUCAGCCAUGGCGCGGUGAAUACGUUCCCGGGCCUGUACACACCGCCAUCGGUGCCCCCGGA